rnacentral:rRNA from 1 species
GGCAGCGACAUAAACAAUCCUUCGGGUGCGCUUAUGGGCGGCGAGCGGCGGACGGGUGAGUAAUGCCUGGGAAUAUGCCCUGAUGUGGGGGAUAACCAUUGGAAACGAUGGCUAAUACCGCAUAAUCUCUUCGGAGCAAAGAGGGGGACCUUCGGGCCUCUCGCGUCAGGAUUAGCCCAGGUGAGAUUAGCUAGUUGGUGAGGUAAGAGCUCACCAAGGCGACGAUCUCUAGCUGGUCUGAGAGGAUGAUCAGCCACACUGGAACUGAGACACGGUCCAGACUCCUACGGGAGGCAGCAGUGGGGAAUAUUGCACAAUGGGGGAAACCCUGAUGCAGCCAUGCCGCGUGUGUGAAGAAGGCCUUCGGGUUGUAAAGCACUUUCAGUUGUGAGGAAGGCAUAUGCGUUAAUAGCGUAUGUGUUUGACGUUAGCAACAGAAGAAG